rnacentral:rRNA from 1 species
CCCUUAGAUGUUCUGGGCCGCACGCGCGCUACACUGGUCGAUGCAACGAGUUUCUUUCCUUGGCCGACAGGCCUGGGCAAUCUUUGAACAACGAUCGUGAUCGGGAUAGAUUCUUGUAAUUUUUGAUCUUAAACGAGGAAUUCCUAGUAAACGCAAGUCAUCAGCCUGCAUUGAUUACGUCCCUGCCCUUUGUACACACCGCCCGUCGCACCUACCGAUUGAAUGGUCCGGUGAAAUCUCCGGACUGGCGUGAGUCGGAGCAAUCUGACAAACGCCGGAAAGUUGAUUAAACCUUACCAUUUAGAGGAAGGUGAAGUCGUAACA